rnacentral:rRNA from 1 species
CCUACGGUGAGCAGCAGUGAGGAAUAUUGGUCAAUGGGCUUACGCCUGAACCAGCCAAGUCGCGUGAGGGAAGACUGCCCUAUGGGUUGUACACCUCUUUUGUCAGGGAGCAACGCCGGCUAAGUGUAGCCGGACUGAGAGUACCUGAAGAAAAAGCAUCGGCAAACUCCGUGCCAGCAGCCGCGGUAAUACGGAGGAUGCGAGCGUUAUCCGGAUUUACUGGGUGUAAAGGGCGUGCAGCCGGAGAGACAAGUCAGAUGUGAAAUCCACGGGCUCAACCCGUGAACUGCAUUUGAAACUGUUUCCCUUGAGUGUCGGAGAGGGAAUCGGAAUUCCUUGUGUAGCGGUGAAAUGCGGAGAUAUAAGGAAGAACACCAGGGGCGAAGGCGGAUUACUGGACGAUAACUGACGGUGAGGCGCGAAAGCGUGGGGAGCAAACAGGAUUAGAUACCCGAGUAGUC